AAAGAAGAAAAAAGGGCCAUUUCCUGAGAUGGAGUAGAACUUCAUCCAUCCUUGAACAUAGGUGGAUCAAUGGCAGAGGGUGGAGGUCCCAACUCCUCUAUUUCUAGGUCUCCUGCAUGGACAUAAAAGAUGCUCAUGUGUCAUUCAUACCGGAUGCCUGAUGUUGCUAAGAAGACCUGAUAGCAUUUUGAGAUAGGACUUUAGGGCUGUGAAAAAAAAAAGGACACAAACACAGAGUGCAUACCCAUAGCCCUCCACCUUGCACCCUGAAAGAGUGAACAUUGGUUAUGAACUGGGGACGUGAA